CGCGCUUUCACGGGUUAUUCCUGUGAGGGUGUUCUUUCUGCGCUUUCACGGGUUAUUCCUGUGUUAGUGUUCUUUCUGUGCUUUCACGGGUUAUUCCUGUGAGGGUGUUCUCUCUGCGCUUUCACGGGUUAUUCCUGUGAGGGUGUUCUCUCUGCGCUUUCACGGGUUAUUCCUGUGGUGUUCUUUCUGCGCUUUCACGGGUUAUUCCUGUGUUAGUGUUCUUUCUGCGCUUUCACGGGUUAUUCCUGUGAGUGUGUUCUCUCUGCGCUUUCACGGGUUAUUCCUGUGAGGGUGUUC
rnacentral:lncRNA from 1 species